rnacentral:rRNA from 1 species
ACACUCCUGCGGGAGGCAGCAGUGGGGAAUUUUGGACAAUGGGCGAAAGCCUGAUCCAGCAAUGCCGCGUGCAGGAUGAAGGCCUUCGGGUUGUAAACUGCUUUUGUACGGAACGAAAAAGCUCCUUCUAAUACAGGGGGCCCAUGACGGUACCGUAAGAAUAAGCACCGGCUAACUACGUGCCAGCAGCCGCGGUAAUACGUAGGGUGCGAGCGUUAAUCGGAAUUACUGGGCGUAAAGCGUGCGCAGGCGGUUAUGUAAGACAGAUGUGAAAUCCCCGGGCUCAACCUGGGAACUGCAUUUGUGACUGCAUGGCUAGAGUACGGUAGAGGGGGAUGGAAUUCCGCGUGUAGCAGUGAAAUGCGUAGAUAUGCGGAGGAACACCGAUGGCGAAGGCAAUCCCCUGGACCUGUACUGACGCUCAUGCACGAAAGCGUGGGGAGCAAACAGGAUUAGAUACCCUAGUAGGCC